UACGUAGGGUGCGAGCGUUGUCCGGAAUUAUUGGGCGUAAAGGGCUCGUAGGCGGUUUGUCGCGUCGGGAGUGAAAACCAGGUGCUUAACACCUGGCUUGCUUUCGAUACGGGCAGGCUAGAGGUAUUCAGGGGAGAACGGAAUUCCUGGUGUAGCGGUGAAAUGCGCAGAUAUCAGGAGGAACACCGGUGGCGAAGGCGGUUCUCUGGGAAUGACCUGACGCUGAGGAGCGAAAGUGUGGGGAGCGAACAGG
rnacentral:rRNA from 1 species